CAGCCGUAAACUAUGCGCGUUAGGUGUACUGGUGACCACGAGUCACCGGGGUGCCGAAGGGAAACCGUGAAACGUGCCGCCUGGGAAGUACGGUCGCAAGGCUGAAACUUAAAGGAAUUGGCGGGGGGGCACCACAACGGGUGGAGCCUGCGGUUUAAUUGGACUCAACGCCGGAAAUCUCACCGGAUAGGACAGACAUAUGAUAGUCGGGCUGAAGACUCUACUUGAUGAUCUGAGAGGUGGUGCAUGGCGUCAGUGACU
rnacentral:rRNA from 1 species